AGUAAAUAGAUACCCCCGGUAGUCCACGCUGUAAACGAUGAGUGCUGGACGUUGGCGGGUUUACCUGCCGGUGUCGCAGCUAAACGCGUUAAGCACUCCGCCUGGGGAGUACGGCCGCAAGGUUAAAACUCAAAGGAAUUGACGGGGGCCCGCACAAGCGGUGGAGCAUGUGGUUUAAUUCGACGCAACGCGCAGAACCUUACCAGCCCUUGACAUGGGCGGACGGGGUCCAGAGAUGGACUCUUUCUCGCAAGAGACCGCUACACAGGUGCUGCAUGGCUGUCGUCAGCUCGUGUCGUGAGAU
rnacentral:rRNA from 1 species